rnacentral:rRNA from 2 species
AAAUUGAAGAGUUUGAUCAUGGCUCAGAUUGAACGCUGGCGGCAGGCCUAACACAUGCAAGUCGAACGGUAACAGGAAGCAGCUUGCUGCUUCGCUGACGAGUGGCGGACGGGUGAGUAAUGUCUGGGAAACUGCCUGAUGGAGGGGGAUAACUACUGGAAACGGUGGCUAAUACCGCAUAACGUCGCAAGACCAAAGAGGGGGACCUUCGGGCCUCUUGCCAUCAGAUGUGCCCAGAUGGGAUUAGCUUGUUGGUGAGGUAACGGCUCACCAAGGCGACGAUCCCUAGCUGGUCUGAGAGGAUGACCAGCCACACUGGAACUGAGACACGGUCCAGACUCCUACGGGAGGCAGCAGUGGGGAAUAUUGCACAAUGGGCGCAAGCCUGAUGCAGCCAUGCCGCGUGUAUGAAGAAGGCCUUCGGGUUGUAAAGUACUUUCAGCGGGGAGGAAGGUGUUGUGGUUAAUAACCACAGCAAUUGACGUUACCCGCAGA